GACAGAGGGUGCGAACGUUUGUUCGGAAUUACUGGGCGUAAAGCGCAUGUAGGCGGCAGCGCAAGUCGGGCGUGAAAUCCCACGGCUCAACCGUGGAAGUGCACUCGAAACUGCGCAGCUAGAGUCCUGGAGAGGAAGGUGGAAUGCUUGGUGUAGAGGUGAAGUUCGUAGAUAUCAAGCGGAACACCGGGUGGCGAAGGCGGCCUUACUGGACAGUGACUGACGGCUGAGAGUGCG
rnacentral:rRNA from 1 species